UACGUAGGGUGCGAGGCGUUAUCCGGAAUUAUUGGGCGUAAAGAGCUCGUAGGCGGGUUUGUCGCGUCUGCUGUGAAAACCCGAGGCUCAACCUCGGGCCUGCAGUGGGUACGGGCAGACUAGAGUGGCGGUAGGGGAGAUUGGAAUUCCUGGUGUAGCGGUGGAAUGCGCAGAUAUCAGGAGGAACACCGAUGGCGAAGGCAGAUCUCUGGGCCGUAACUGACGCUGAGGAGCGAAAGCGUGGGGAGCGAAACAGG
rnacentral:rRNA from 1 species